AGUGAACGCUGGCGGUAGGCCUAACACAUGCAAGUCGAACGGCCGCACAGUAAGGGCUUGCUCUUACGGGUGGCGAGUGGCGGACGGGUGAGGAAUACAUCGGAAUCUACUUUUUCGUGGGGGAUAACGUAGGGAAACUUCCGCUAAUACCUCAUACGACCUACGGGUGAAAUCAGGGGAUCUUCGGACCUUGCGCGAUUGAAUUAGCCGAUGUCGGAUUAGCUAGUUGGCUGGGUAAAGGCCCACCAAGGCGACGAUCCGUAGCUGGUCUGAGAGGAUGAUCAGCCACACUGGAACUGAGACACGGUCCAGACUCCUACGGGAGGCAGCAGUGGGGAAUAUUGGACAAUGGGCGCAAGCCUGAUCCAGCCAUACCGCGUGGGUGAAGAAGGCCUUCGGGUUGUAAAGCCCUUUUGUUGGGAAAGAAAAGCAGCAGGUUAAUACCCCGCUGUUCUGACGGUACCCAAAGAAUAAGCACCGGCUAACUUCGUG
rnacentral:rRNA from 1 species